CCUACGGGGGGCAGCAGUGGGGAAUAUUGCACAAUGGGGGAAACCCUGAUGCAGCGACGCCGCGUGAGUGAAGAAGUAUUUCGGUACGUAAAGCUCUAUCAGCAGGGAAGAAAAUGACGGUACCUGACUAAGAAGCCCCGGCUAACUACGUGCCAGCAGCCGCGGUAAUACGUAGGGGGCAAGCGUUAUCCGGAUUUACUGGGUGUAAAGGGAGCGUAGACGGCAGCGCAAGUCUGGAGUGAAAUCCCAUGGCUUAACCAUGGAACUGCUGUGGAAACUGUGCAGCUAGAGUGCAGGAGAGGUAAGCGGAAUUCCUAGUGUAGCGGUGAAAUGCGUAGAUAUUAGGAGGAACACCAGUGGCGAAGGCGGCUUACUGGACUGUAACUGACGUUGAGGCUCGAAAGCGUGGGGAGCAAACAGGAUUAGAUACCCGAGUAGUC
rnacentral:rRNA from 1 species